rnacentral:rRNA from 1 species
CCGCGGUAACACCGGCAGCUCUAGUGGUAACAAUUUUAUUGGGCCUAAAGCGUCCGUAGCCGGUUUAAUAAGUCUCUGGUGAAAUCCUGCAGCUUAACUGUGGGAAUGCUGGAGAUACUAUUAGACUUGAGACCGGGAGAGGUUAGAGGUACUCCCAGGGUAGAGGUGAAAUUCUGUAAUCCUGGGAGGACCGCCUGUUGCGAAGGCGUCUAACUGGAACGGUUCUGACGGUGAGGGACGAAAGUUAGGGGCGCGAACCGGAUUAGAUACCCGGGUAGUCCUAACUGUAAACGAUGCGGACUUGGUGUUGGGUGGCUUUGAGCUGCUCAGUGCCGAAGGGAAGCUGUUAAGUCCGCCGCCUGGGAAGUACGGUCGCAAGACUGAAACUUAAGGAAUUGGCGGGGGAGCACCACAACGCGUGGAGCCUGGCCGGUUUAAUUGGAUUCAACGCCGGACAUCUCACCAGAGGCGACAGCUGUAUGAUAGCCAGGUUGAUGACUUUGCUUGACUAGCUGAGAAGUGGUGCAUGG